GAGAGAAAGUAAACUGAUGCAUAGAAAGCAGCAUUUCAAAAUAAAAAUAUUUGACACCGAUGAAUUGACACUCUUAUGACACUAACUAAUGAAAAGCCUUUAGACGCCGGCAGUUUCUUGCUUGGUUUGAUACCAAUGAAAUUUACAUAUUACUCUAUUCCAUAACCGUGCAUUGAUACAGUUCUGACAUCAUCUGAUUGACUUUUUUCUGAUGUAGACCUAUAGUAACCUUUUUGACCCCAGUGAAGUCCGUCUUGGUUUAACACUAACGAGUUUUGCAUAUGACGGACAAAUUGAUACCGUUCUGACACCGACUGAUUGACACCUCUGACACCGGCGAAAUUUUGCCUUUAGUCGCUUGUGGACGUGGUAGAAGGGGGACCUGUUUCAUGUCUUUAUCAGUUUAUUUGAAAGGCUUACAUGUGUGCUAUUUAGUGUUUCAUGUGUGAGUUGAGCCGUUGGUGUUCGACUGAAGGCUUUUCCAAGGUACGGUGCUUAGCGGAGACUUCCGACUACAGUUGUGCUAAUAAGGUGGUACGGCAUUGGUAGAAUGGUGCUUUUCGUUGGAUGAAGCAGAGUCUCGUGAGUGACGGCAUCAGAAGGGGGCGUGUCUGUAGCGAGGUAGCUCAGCAGCGCCGCAGGUAACAAGUCACAAGGGCCGUGUGCAGACUGCUAUCUCCUCGGCCUGUCAUAGCUAGCUCGGCUUGAUACGUCUCCCCAUCUUGUGCCCGGACGCUGAAGGCCCUUGUAGACGCGUGGGAGGCGUCGACGCCUGCUUUGCGUGAGUCUCCAGCCUGUAGGCCACUCCCCAGUGACGGGUGUACAUGUAGCGUGAUGAAUUCCCAACAAAAUACUGCGUUUUGUGCUGUGUCUGUGCAGGAAUAUGCGUAAAGCAAGUGCACACGGCUUGUCGGUGCACAGUGAUCAGUGAGCGGGCGUGUGCGGAGAACAGGCCCGUUCGGAAGAGUUGAGAGGGAGGCGGAGGGAGCCUGGCGCUCGUCUACAUCUGGGACCGUCUCCGCCGCCGACAACUCGUUCGCCUUUGCUGACAUUCCUGCACCGCAUGAUGUCAGCCUAGAAGAAGGGAUCGCCCCUCCCGCCGGAUUAAGACACAGAGGCGGUUUCUUUAGACUGUCUCGAGGGAGAGCAUAUCGAAACUAUUUAUUUAACAAAAAGUGCAUCCAGUGGCCAGUCACCGGAAAUACUGUAAAGUGUGCGUCUAAGAGCAGAAGCGGUGACUCACUCACACAUGCUGUUUGUGUUGUGUUGACCCGAAAAACACGAUCGCAGCAGCCGGAAGUAGUUCGAGCUUUGUGCCUUCAAGUGUUUUCGAAGUUGCCUCAGAAAAAAAUCACUUGCUUUCUUUGUUUAUGUGUUUGUGUUCUCAGCAGCUUUUGGACGUUGAAGCGCCAAAAAAGGCCUUAUGAUUUAAGGUGUGCCUCUAAAUGCCAAAUGGAUUAAGGUCUUAUCAGGCACUGAGAUAAGCAAGGAUUUUAACUGAUCUGUGGCAAUAGAGAGGUUCUACCAAGAUCAUAUCCCACUCGUCGCCGCUGUGAGUAUUAUUGACUUCACGA
rnacentral:lncRNA from 1 species